rnacentral:rRNA from 1 species
GAUGAACGCUGGCGGCGUGCCUAAUACAUGCAAGUCGAGCGAACAGACGAGGAGCUUGCUCCUCUGACGUUAGCGGCGGACGGGUGAGUAACACGUGGAUAACCUACCUAUAAGACUGGGAUAACUUCGGGAAACCGGAGCUAAUACCGGAUAAUAUAUUGAACCGCAUGGUUCAAUAGUGAAAGACGGUUUUGCUGUCACUUAUAGAUGGAUCCGCGCCGCAUUAGCUAGUUGGUAAAGUAACGGCUUACCAAGGCGACGAUGCGUAGCCGACCUGAGAGGGUGAUCGGCCACACUGGAACUGAGACACGGUCCAGACUCCUACGGGAGGCAGCAGUAGGGAAUCUUCCGCAAUGGGCGAAAGCUUGACGGAGCAACGCCGCGUGAGUGAUGAAGGUCUUCGGAUCGUAAAACUCUGUUAUUAGGGAAGAACAAAUGUGUAAGUAACUAUGCACGUCUUGACGGUACCUAAUCAGAAAGCCACGGCUAACUACGUG